CCUACGGGUGGCAGCAGUGAGGAAUAUUGGUCAAUGGACGCAAGUCUGAACCAGCCAUGCCGCGUGCAUGAAGACGGCUCUAUGAGUUGUAAACUGCUUUUGUACGAGGGUAAACGCAGAUACGCGUAUCUGUCUGACAUUAUCGUACGUAUAAGGAUCGGCUAACUCCGUGCCAGCAGCCGAGGUAAUACGGAGGAUGCAAGCGUGCUCCGGAUUUAUUGGGUUUAAAGCGUGCGUAGGCGGUCGGAUAAGUUAGAGGUGAAAUCCCGAGGCUCAACUUCGGAAUGUACUCUGAUACUGUGCGGCUAGAGAGGAGAUGCGGUAGGCGGAAUGUAUGGUGUAGCGGUGAAAUGCUUAGAUAU
rnacentral:rRNA from 1 species